UACGUAGGGGGCUAGCGUUGUCCGGAAUCAUUGGGCGUAAAGCGCGUGUAGGCGGCCCGAUAAGUCCGCUGUGAAAGUCCAGGGCUCAACCCUGGGAUGCCGGUGGAUACUGUCGGGCUCGAGUCCGGAAGAGGCGAGUGGAAUUCCGUGGUGUAGCGGUGAAAUGACGCAGAUAUCAGGAGGAACACCGAUGGCGAAGGCAGGUCUCUGGGCCACUACUGACGCUGAGAAGCGAAAGCUGGGGAGCGAACAGG
rnacentral:rRNA from 1 species